CUUGACUUGUUUGUGUUUGUCCAUCAGCGCCAUAAACUACGCAGUCUGAACCCGGAGCAGCGAAGAACAGAUCCAAGUGUUGAGGAGCCCCUCGAGUGAUGUCCGCUUCAAUUCACCUGUACACAAAUUGGAAAAAUGGCCCAAUGCUGCCUCGUCCCAGGAACUCUGCAGGGGAGAAGGCUGAGCACUGCUCUGCCUGGGAAGACACUGGUACUAUGCAGCCAUCUGUGCCACACGCUAGGCUCUCACGAUUACCAAUCUAUACAGGAGAAAGAAGCGUCAUAAUGUAUCAUGUGUCAAUUCUACCAUUAAAAUUGGAAAAAAUAAAUAACUUAUGUGUAUAUAAAUAAAACAGCAAACUAAAA